rnacentral:rRNA from 5 species
AGACCCGAAACCCGGUGAUCUAGCCAUGGGCAGGUUGAAGGUUGGGUAACACUAACUGGAGGACCGAACCGACUAAUGUUGAAAAAUUAGCGGAUGACCUGUGGCUGGGGGUGAAAGGCCAAUCAAACCGGGAGAUAGCUGGUUCUCCCCGAAAGCUAUUUAGGUAGCGCCUCGUGAAUUCAUCUCCGGGGGUAGAGCACUGUUUCGGCUAGGGGGCCAUCCCGGCUUACCAACCCGAUGCAAACUGCGAAUACCGGAGAAUGUUAUCACGGGAGACACACGGCGGGUGCUAACGUCCGUCGUGAAGAGGGAAACAACCCAGACCGCCAGCUAAGGUCCCAAAGUCAUGGUUAAGUGGGAAACGAUGUGGGAAGGCCCAGACAGCCAGGAUGUUGGCUUAGAAGCAGCCAUCAUUUAAAGAAAGCGUAAUAGCUCACUGGUCGAGUCGGCCUGCGCGGAAGAUGUAACGGGGCUAAACCAUGCACCGAAGCUGCGGCAGCGAACGUAUCACCCAAGACAACUUUACGGAGUUGACGAUUGACG